UCGAUUAUAAUUUUUGAUUAUCAUUUUUAGGCUUAACUCAACGAGCUGUGUGUACGGGUGCCGAUUAUAGACGGCGUUCAGUGGCGUCACUCCAGCAGACCGGAUAAGAGAAGAGUCAAGUUUGAUAAAAGUACAGUUUUAAUUUCAUCGAGACUCGAAGGAUCGGUACAAAGUUGUUUGACAUUUCAGACAGUGGAGGCGUCGUUGUAAUGGCAUUUACUCGAACGAAGAGUAAAACGAAGUAAACUAAGGAAUACGAUCUACUUGAUGCGAGAUGUUAGAAGGCUAGUCUCUGAGUAACCUUACCAUUUUGCCGUGUGUGAGAGAGAUUCCUUUCCUCGAGGUCCAAAGAAUGAUGAUAUCUUGAUGUCUCGAGCACUGAGGUCUGUCAACUAUCGCACCAAAGUUAUCACUAUCGACGAUAAGAAGCAACUUUUCUCACGAAACGUGGAAAAAGACUGUUGAAAGUGAUUGAUCCGUUGGGAUUGCUCUGCAGCAGGUUUAUGUCCCACGGAACCAUCCUUCCAGCAUUUAUACGAAACAAUGACGUCAAACGGGAGCACGCUAAUCGUACAGUGACGUAUCACGGCAGGUGAUAAACGACCUGGUAAACUAGAAUGAUCGAUGGGAACUCCGAGCUACGUGCAUCCUCGAGCGUUGCAUCCGGUUGGAGCCUCUUGUUUUCCUCGAGUACCGCGAAAUUACGGUGGGGUUGUUAUUUUCGGAGACCGACAUUCGUUUGUCCUGGUAAAAGGCGCUAAAUUCCAGGUAACGUGUCCUUUAUGUCAAGGCUUCUUAAACUACGAGUCGCGACCCCAAACGGGGGUAUUAUAAAAUAUUUAAUAUUCUCUUUUAUUUGUGUUAUAGCAAAAAGUGCAGUUUUUAUGAAAAAUAGGGUAUUGUAAUAGGGUACGUAAUUUUAGGGUAUAUAAUAAACUAUAAUAAACACAAUUUCACAAGUUUUUGUGCAAUUUUUAAUAUGAUACUUUUGUAUGUUUUUAGACAAAUUCUAAAAUUGCAUUUUUUCAUAUGCAUACGCAUCGUUACUUAAUCCAUAAAUCAUCAGUACCUCAUCGGUAACUCUUUUAUCAUAGAAACUGGAAUUUGUUAUACUUUUAUUAUUAGUUUCACAGCGUAGAUCGAUCGGCGCUCGUAUUUUAAAGACGCGUACUUUUGAAAAUGAUACUUAUCGUGUAAAAUUCGCUAUCCUUUUGUAUGUCACCUUCAAUGUCAAGAACGGAUACAUGCAGGCCUUUUGUUUUCUUCGAAAGCGUGAAAAGGGAUGACGCGGUUCGCGAAUGACGCUCGGCGUCCGUUCCGCUAAAUAAUCAUUCACGUGGUCACAUCUCGGGUCACGCCUAAAUUUCGACCAUUUAUGUAGACAACAACGAUGCGCAGAACGUUUUCAAAAAUUACAGAAAUUCUAAUUCUUAAAGCAGAUAUUAUCGCAAAUUAAACGAAAUCGUCAACGGCGACAGAAUAAUAAUUGUUGAACUAUUUUUCGCAGGAUAUCGUCCGGCGUUUUGCGAUUGGUCAUUGGGCGACUUAUCGCGUACGGCGUUCCAUUAGCAGGGACCGUCUUCGUCGUGAAUCACUUCUGCAUUUACGCGGAAGAGGAUCGGUACGCGUUCGAAGGAAUUACGCAACGGGGCCACCGCAGCUACGCGCUUGAACGAUAUUUCUCUCGGAGGCUGUACUUGUUUACGCGCUGCACCCAGUCACGCGUCGAAGGAGUCACGCGUAGUUUAACUUGUGACUGGAAAACACGGUGAUUUAACGCGCUCGAGAUCGAGGACUCUGCGGACGAGCAAACGCGAUGCUACGAUCAAUUUAGCAGAUGACGCGGCCCGCAGAUCUUGGUAAAUUAACUGCUUCUGAGUUACUUUUACAUGGUUGCGAGACUAAAACUGAUUAAUUCGAAAUAUUCUGGUGUCGGGGAUGAAUUAUCGAAGCUUGAAGUGAUAUUUGUAAGUAAGUCGCUGUUUGCGAUACGGUAUUGUACCUCUUAAUCGGCGGGCGAUUUCAAAUAAAAAGAUGGGGAUAACGAGUUUCUUAUUUCGAGACAGAAAACAGUUUCGAGACGAUACUGUAGCGACUCUUCUUGGAAAGUAAAGGGAUAGGCUAUGAAUAAAGGCUACUAAUAAGA